UGGCCAUAGAAGGGAACCUACUGGUUCAAGGAGACCUUGGAGAGGCAGGUGGGCAGGGGGUACAGCCCAUGGCAUGGAUCCCACCAGCUCCUGAAGACCAGCUCUCCUCCUGCCUGCAGAGCUGAGCCUUCCACCCCAGUAGAGAUGCAGACAGAGCGUAUGAAAUCCCAUGGAGAUGAGAUUUUCAGCCCUGGUGCUGGUCUCCACUGGAUUCCUUCCUCUACUUACUUGCUUGAGCACAGUGCUGAAGACCAGACAAUGGCUCUCAAGGAGCAGCGUGAGGGAGACGAGGGUGGCUGAGCACUGCCAGGAAGGACCGUGUGUGCUGCCCUAGCUGACCGUGAGCCCCAUGCCACAGCAGCAGUUCUGCCCAGCACUGCGGCGUGCUCCGGGCAUCCUCCCUUCCCUCAACUCACACUGGGAUCGUUGACUGACCCCACAGGUAACUGAUCUCCCAUUGUAUGAG